rnacentral:rRNA from 1 species
UUUAUUCUUACGGGAGGCAGCAGGGGGAAUAUUGCACAAUGGGCGGAAGCCUGAUGCAGCGACGCCGCGUGAGGGAUGACGGCCUUCGGGUUGUAAACCUCUUUCAGUAGGGAAGAAGCGAAAGUGACGGUACCUGCAGAAGAAGCGCCGGCUAACUACGUGCCAGCAGCCGCGGUAAUACGUAGGGCGCAAGCGUUAUCCGGAAUUAUUGGGCGUAAAGAGCUCGUAGGCGGUUUGUCGCGUCUGCCGUGAAAGUCCGGGGCUCAACUCCGGAUCUGCGGUGGGUACGGGCAGACUAGAGUGAUGUAGGGGAGACUGGAAUUCCUGGUGUAGCGGUGAAAUGCGCAGAUAUCAGGAGGAACACCGAUGGCGAAGGCAGGUCUCUGGGCAUUAACUGACGCUGAGGAGCGAAAGCAUGGGGAGCGAACAGGAUUAGAUACCCUGGUAGUCCAUGCCGUAAACGUUGGGCACUAGGUGUGGGGGACAUUCCACGUUUUCCGCGCCGUAGCUAACGCAUUAAGUGCCCCGCCUGGGGAGUACGGCCGCAAGGCUAAAACUCAAAGGAAUUGACGGGGGCCCGCACAAGCGGCGGAGCAUGCGGAUUAAUUUGAUGCAACGCGAAGAACCUUACCAAGGCUUGACAUGAACCGGUAAGACCUGAAACCAGUCCCCCCC